rnacentral:tRNA from 1 species
UUUUAUUCCAACCCAAGUGUUUGGGAUAGUUCGGAUA